UACGGAGGGGGCUAGCGUUGUUCGGAAUUACUGGGCGUAAAGCGCACGUAGGCGGCUUUGCAAGUUAGAGGUGAAAGCCCGGGGCUCAACUCCGGAAUUGCCUUUAAAACUGCAUCGCUAGAAUUGUGGAGAGGUAAGUGGAAUUCCGAGUGUAGAGGUGAAAUUCGUAGAUAUUCGGAAGAACACCAGUGGCGAAGGCGACUUACUGGGCACAUAUUGACGCUGAGGUGCGAAAGCGUGGGGAGCAAACAGG
rnacentral:rRNA from 1 species